rnacentral:misc_RNA from 1 species
CCGGCUCUGACGCCACUCAUGUUCGAAUUCAUCUAAAACUGCAUUCUGUUUGUUAAAUAAUGAACGAAUCUAAACGAAAACGAAAUAAUUAUCUAGUGGUCAUUACAAGGCAGUAAUUAAUUAGUGAUUAGGAUGUCGGAUUCUGAAAGUGUUGUACCAGCGAAGAAUGAAGCCAUAGAAUUGAUCGGGUUAGUUCGUGAAAGAAAAUGUUUGUGGGACAGGAGAUGUACAGAGUAUAGGAACAAGUACGACAGGCUGAAGGCUUGGGAGGAGAUCUGUGAGGUGCUAGACUCUAACUUCCACAGAGUAAACAACAAGCAUAAGAAUAAGUCGGUUCUACUGAUGUCAAAAAAAUGGACGAACAUACGAGACGCUUACGUUAAGUCACUGAGGAUGGGGAGGAACCGGGUGAAGCCGUACAUACACGCCGAGGCUUUGGAGUUUCUUGAUGCUGUGUUCGUUUACAAAACUAAGUCGUCCCAAAAAGUAGACAGUCGACUCUCAGACGAGGACAACGCAACUGAGGAUUCAAUAGAAUGGUUGAACGAAGUGUACGUUGACGAGAGCGCUGUAGAGGAUCCACCACCCAAGAAACCCAAACUAGAAUAUCCACAAGACGAGAACAGCAUAGCUCAUUUUCUCAUGAACUUGGUGCAGCGCGAAGAAAACGAGGAUAGAGCGUUCUUCACUUCCAUAACGUCUGCCGUCUCGAGUUUGUCUGAGAGGUCAAAGUUCGAGUUCAGAGUCCAGGUGUUGAAGUUGCUGAACAGUUUGAGAAUGAAGGAUUCCAGCAUGGGCGUGAAGAGGGAGAGAAAUAUAUUUGAUAGUGAAACUGAGUGAAUUCGACUUUGUCUUUUUUAGAGCAUUCUUAAACGAAGAAAAACAGUUGACACCACCACCACUACAGUGUCUUCUGCGAACUUAUCAUGAGAUCCGUUAAAGCGGUUAUUUUGGAUAUGUCGAAGAAAUUAGUAUUGUUGAAAGAUGAGCAACGGUAUCUAUAGCCUACAAUAAUCCCUUAUCGUACACUGAAUGGUCUGUGUCCAUCUAAAUGGA